rnacentral:rRNA from 1 species
GAUCAUGGCUCAGGACGAACGCUGGCGGCGCGCCUAACACAUGCAAGUCGAACGAGAGAGAAGGAGCUUGCUUCUUCGAUCGAGUGGCGAACGGGUGAGUAACGCGUGAGGAACCUGCCUCAAAGAGGGGGACAACAGUUGGAAACGACUGCUAAUACCGCAUAAGCCCACGGGUCGGCAUCGACCUGAGGGAAAAGGAGCAAUCCGCUUUGAGAUGGCCUCGCGUCUGAUUAGCCAG